CCUACGGGUGGCAGCAGUGAGGAAUAUUGGUCAAUGGGCUUACGCCUGAACCAGCCAAGUCGCGUGAGGGAUGACUGCCCUAUGGGUUGUAAACCUCUUUUGUCAGGGAGAAACGCCGGCUACGUGUAGCCUGACUGCGAGUACCUGCAGAAAAAGCAUCGGCUAACUCCGUGCCAGCAGCCGCGGUAAUACGGGGGAUGCGCGCGGUAUCCGGAUUUCUGGGGGUUAAAGGGUGCGUAGGCGGAAUGCGAAGUCAGCGGUAAAAUUGCGGGGCUCAACCUCGCGCCGUCGUUGAAACUGGUGUUCUUGAGUGGGCGAGAAGUAUGCGGAAUGCGUGGUGUAGCGGUGAAAUGCAUAGAGAUCACGCAGAACUCCGAUUGCGAAGGCAGCAUACCGGCGCCCAACUGACGCGGAAGCACGAAAGCGUGGGUAGCGAACAGGAUUAGAUACCCGUGUAGUC
rnacentral:rRNA from 1 species